ACUCCUACGGGAGGCAGCAGUGAGGAAUCUUCCGCAAUGGGCGAAAGCCUGACGGAGCGACACCGCGUGAAGGAUGAAGGCCUUUUGGUUGUAAACUUCUUUUCUGGGGGAAUAAAUGAUGAAGGUACCCCAGGAAUAAGCACCGGCUAACUACGUGCCAGCAGCCGCGGUAAUACGUAGGGUGCAAGCGUUAUCCGGAAUUAUUGGGCGUAAAGCGUGCGAAGGCUGUUUAACAAGUUUGAGAUUAAAUCUGGUCGCUCAACGAUCAACUCGUCUCAAAUACUAUUAAGCUAGAGAAUGAUAGAGGCAACUAGAAUUCUGCGUGUAGGGGUAAAAUCCGUUGAUAUGCAGAGGAAUACCAAAAGCGAAGGCAGGUUGCUGGGUCAUUUCUGACGCUGUUGCACGAAAGCGUAGGUAGCAAACAGGAUUAGAUACCCUGGUAGUCUACGCCGUAAACGAUGGAUACUCGAUUUGAGAAGGAUUCGACCCCUUUUCGAGUCUAAGCUAACGCGUUAAGUAUCCCGCCUGGGGAGUACGGUCGCAAGAUUAAAACUCAAAGGAAUAGACGGGGACCCACAUAAGCGGUGGAGCAUGUGGUUUAAUUCGACACUAAACGGGGAACCUUACCGAGGCUUGACAUCUCCGGAAUUUUUUGGAAACAAGAAAGUGCCGCAAGGAACCGGAUGACAGGUGCUGCAUGGUCGUCGUCAGCUCGUGCCUUGAGGUGUUCGGUUAAGUCCGUAAACGAGCGCAACCCAUGUCCUAUGUUGCAUUUUUCAUAGGAGACUGCCGGCUCCAAGUCGGANNNANGGUAUGGAUGACGUCANAUCANCAUGGNCCUUAUGCCUCGGGCCACACAC
rnacentral:rRNA from 1 species